UACGUAGGGGGCAAGCGUUGUCCGGAUUUAUUGGGCGUAAAGAGCGUGUAGGCGGUUUGGUAGGUCCGCUGUGAAAAACUCGAGGCUCAACCUCGAGACGCCGGUGGAAACCAUCAGGCUAGAGUCCGGAAGAGGAGAGUGGAAUUCCUGGUGUAGCGGUGAAAUGCGCAGAUAUCAGGAAGAACACCCGUGGCUAAGGCGGCUCUCUAGUACGGUAACUGACGCUGAGACGCGAAAAGCGUGGGGAGCGAACAGG
rnacentral:rRNA from 1 species